GAUGAACGCUGGCGGCGUGCCUAAUACAUGCAAGUCGAGCGAACAGACGAGGAGCUUGCUCCUCUGACGUUAGCGGCGGACGGGUGAGUAACACGUGGAUAACCUACCUAUAAGACUGGGAUAACUUCGGGAAACCGGAGCUACUACCGGAUAAUAUAUUGAACCGCAUUGUUCAAUAGUGAAAGACGGUUUUGCUGUCACUUAUAGAUGGAUCCGCGCCGCAUUAGCUAGUUGGUAAGGUAACGGCUUACCAAGGCAACGAUGCGUAGCCGACCUGAGAGGGUGAUCGGCCACACUGGAACUGAGACACGGUCCAGACUCCUACGGGAGGCAGCAGUAGGGAAUCUUCCGCAAUGGGCGAAAGCCUGACGGAGCAACGCCGCGUGAGUGAUGAAGGUCUUCGGAUCGUAAAACUCUGUUAUUAGGGAAGAACAAAUGUGUAAGUAACUAUGCACGUCUUGACGGUACCUAAUCAGAAAGCCACGGCUAACUACGUG
rnacentral:rRNA from 1 species